AUGACCCGCCAAGACCAGCACGCGCGCGCGCAGCGCCAUGGGAUUGGGCGUCAGGUCGGUUGGCCAAUGUUCAUGCAUGAUGAGCGUCCAUGUCGUUCCGUCCCGGCGUCGCAUUCGCCUCGCCGUAAAGCUCACGGCUCCGUCCCUACCAACAGCGACACCGACGUCCGACGCCGACGACCCACCACCCUCCGCCUCGCCUCGCCCCACUCCGCCCCGUGCCCGUACCCAUGCGCGCGCGCCGCCCUCGACGCCCGCGUCUCUCACUCGCCGAGGCCUCCUCCGCUGCCACCUUCACCGGCCCAGCAGGGGACGUCCUUCCCCAUGCUGCUCCCGGUCUUCCUCCUCUUCGUCCUCCUCCUCUGCUUCCUCUCCAUCUUCCUCCUCCGCGACCUCCUCCGCUUCUUCUCCCUCUGGCUCCGCCGCCGCCGCCGCCGCCUCCAGUCCAGCGACGCGGACGCCGCAACGGGCGAAGAAGACGCGCCCGCGCCCGCGCCGCGCAAGCCGGCGGGCCUGGAUCCCGCCGUCAUCGCCUCGUUCCCCACGGUGCGGUUCGAGGCCGACGCCGCCGGCUCCGCGGCGCCGGCGGAGUGCGCGGUCUGCCUGUCCGAGUUCGCGCCCGGCGACGCCGUCCGGCCGCUCACCGUCUGCCGCCACGCCUUCCACGCCGCGUGCAUCGACUCGUGGCUCGGCGCGCACACCACGUGCCCGGUCUGCCGCACCGACCUGGGCGCUCCGCCCAACGAGGAGAUCGCCGUCGCGGAAGAACACGGAGACCGUGGCCAGGCUGCAGCGGCGGUCCACGAGGCCACUGGACGCCGGACAACGUCGUCACCUCCGGCAAGUGGCCAGCGGUAACCAACGGUCGCCGGCCACGCAACACUGAGUGGCGAUCCGGUGUGUCGCGUUCUCCAAAUUUUGUUGAAUCCUUUUUAGAGUAGUUGGUAGGAAUUGGUAGCUUAGGUUCAUUCAUGCAUGGGACGUGUGUAUAUACCGAAAUAUUUCCAAAUAAAUGUAAGCGUGGACAUUUUUCACUUACCACUGUGAUUACAUUGUUCAUUCCAACUAUUUAGAAGUCGGACAGGGGCUGAACGGCUGCUGGACCUGGGUAAACACUAAGCAAGUUUGUUCUAAAACCAGGACAUGGGCAAUUUUACACUAUCAAAGAUGC
rnacentral:rRNA from 1 species